rnacentral:rRNA from 1 species
UACGCUUAUAGAGUUGAUUAGUUUACUAAGAGAUGAUUUAUUGUAAAUUUUAGUGGCGGACUGGUGAGUAAUACAUAGGUAAUCUGCCUUUUAGAGGGGAAUAACUAGGAGAAAUCCUAGCUAAUACCGCGUAAGACCACACUUAGGCAUCUAAGAGAGGUCAAAGGAGUAAUCCGCUAAAAGAUGAGCCUGUGGCUGAUUAGUUAGUUGGUGGGGUAAGAGCCUACCAAGACGAUGAUCAGUAGCCGAGCUGAGAGGCUGGCCGGCCACAUUGGGACUGAGAUACGGCCCAGACUCCUACGGGAGGCAGCAGUUGGGAAUAUUGGACAAUGGAGGAAACUCUGAUCCAGUGACGCCGCGUGAAGGAAGAAGGUCUUCGGAUUGUAAACUUAUUUUAUCAGGGAAGAAGAAAGUGACAGUACCUAAAGAAAAAGGACCGGCAAACUACGUGCCAGCAGCCGCGGUAAUACGUAGGGUCCAAGCGUUAUCCGGAUUUACUGGGUGUAAAGGGCGAGUAGACGGCGCUGUAAGUCAGCUGUGAAAACUUAGGGCUCAACCUUAAGCCUGCAGCUGAAACUGUAGUGCUAGAGUGCAGGAGAGGUAAGCGGAAUUCCUAGUGUAGCGGUGAAAUGCGUAGAUAUUAGGAGGAACACCAGUGGCGAAGGCGGCUUACUGGACUGUAACUGACGUUGAGGCGCGAAAGUGUGGGGAGCAAACAGGAUUAGAUACCCUGGUAGUCCACACCGUAAACGAUGGAUACUAGGUGUAGGCGAGAUAUCGUCUGUGCCGGCGCAAACGCAAUAAGUAUCCCACCCGGGGAGUAUGU